rnacentral:misc_RNA from 1 species
GAUGAAGAACGCAGCGAAAUGCGAUACGUAGUGUGAAUUGCAGAAUUCAGUGAAUCAUCGAAUCUUUGAACGCACAUUGCACCUCUCGGUAUUCCGGGAGGUAUGCCUGUUCGAGCGUCAUUUGUACCCUCAAGCUCUGCUUGGUGUUGGGUGUUUGUUCCGCCUCUGUGUGUGAACUCGCCUCAAAACAAUUGGCAGCCGGCGUACUUGUUUCGGAGCGCAGCACAUUUUGCGAUCCAGAUCAACGUACAGCGGCAUCCAAGAAGCCUUAUUUAACGCUCUUGACCUCGGAUCAGGUAGGGAUACCCGCUGAACUUAAGCAUAUCAAUAAACGGAGGA